rnacentral:rRNA from 1 species
UGGGGAAUAUUGGACAAUGGGGGGAACCCUGAUCCAGCCAUGCCGCGUGUGUGAAGAAGGCCUUAUGGUUGUAAAGCACUUUAAGCGAGGAGGAGGGUACUGGUAUUAAUACUACCAGGUACUGGACGUUACUCGCAGAAUAAGCACCGGCUAACUCUGUGCCAGCAGCCGCGGUAAUACAGAGGGUGCGAGCGUUAAUCGGAUUUACUGGGCGUAAAGCGUGCGUAGGCGGCUAAUUGAGUCGGAUGUGAAAUCCCCGAGCUUAACUUGGGAAUUGCAUUCGAUACUGGUUAGCUAGAGUGUGGGAGAGGAUGGUAGAAUUCCAGGUGUAGCGGUGAAAUGCGUAGAGAUCUGGGGGAAUACCGAUGGCGAAGGCAGCCAUCUGGCCUAACACUGACGCUGAGGUACGAAAGCAUGGGGAGCAAACAGG